rnacentral:rRNA from 1 species
AUACGUAGGUGGCGAGCGUUGUCCGGAAUUACUGGGCGUAAAGGAUGCGUAGGUGGAUAUUUAAGUGGGAUGUGAAAUCCCCGGGCUCAACCCGGGAACUGCAUUCCAAACUGGGUAUCUAGAGUGCAGGAGAGGAAAGCGGAAUUCCUAGUGUAGCGGUGAAAUGCGUAGAUAUUAGGAGGAACACCAGUGGCGAAGGCGGUUUUCUGGACUGUAACUGGAACUGAGGCAUGAAAGCGCGGGUAACAAACAGGAUUAGAUUCCCUGGUAGUCCACGCCGUAAACGAUGGGUACUAGGUGUAGGAGGUAUCGACCCCUUCUGUGCCGUCGUUAACACAAUAAGUACCCCGCCUGGGGAGUACGGUCGCAAGACUAAAACUCAAAUGAAUUGACGGGG